CAGCCGCUGGGAGCAGCCUGGUCUGGAUCCCAGAGGUUACUGAAUGCCUCAGCCUUCCCCGAAAAUUCCUGAGGUCAAAGGGAGCCCCAGGAGUCCACGAUAAACGCCAGCCCUUCUAGGAACUUCCAAACCCUCCGGAGGUGUGGCCCACAUUUUUAAGAAGGGGGAAAUUUGAGGAGGACCUUAGCGUGAGCCUCUCCAAAACCCGGACGCUGAAACCCUGUUUAUGGAAUGGACUAACAGAGAGGGAAGUUGAGGCACAGUGGGAGGAAGACUAUGCCCCGAGUUCACACGCCAAGUGAUUUGCAAAAUCCGAGAGCAGAUCUGGAGAGCCUGCUGGAUUCGGGUCAAUGUCUCCCUCCGCGCCGCAGGGCUGCCUUGGGUGGUCGGUUGUUUGUUUUAAUCUGAGGCUUGUUUAUAUUUAACUGUGUCUGAAAUCUUCAUGAGACCAUUAAGACAUUUAAAAAAUCGUGUUUACUGGA